rnacentral:rRNA from 1 species
GCCUGAUGCGCCAUGCCGCGUGUGUGAAGAAGGCCUUCGGGUUGUAAAGCACUUUCAGUCGUGAGGAAGGUAGUGUAGUUAAUAGCUGCAUUAUUUGACGUUAGCGACAGAAGAAGCACCGGCUAACUCCGUGCCAGCAGCCGCGGUAAUACGGAGGGUGCGAGCGUUAAUCGGAAUUACUGGGCGUAAAGCGCAUGCAGGUGGUUUGUUAAGUCAGAUGUGAAAGCCCGGGGCUCAACCUCGGAAUAGCAUUUGAAACUGGCAGACUAGAGUACUGUAGAGGGGGGUAGAAUUUCAGGUGUAGCGGUGAAAUGCGUAGAGAUCUGAAGGAAUACCGGUGGCGAAGGCGGCCCCCUGGACAGAUACUGACACUCAGAUGCGAAAGCGUGGGGAGCAAACAGGAUUAGAUACCCUGGUAGUCCACGCCGUAAACGAUGUCUACUUGGAGGUUGUGGCCUUGAGCCGUGGCUUUCGGAGCUAACGCGUUAAGUAGACCGCCUGGGGAGUACGGUCGCAAGAUUAAAACUCAAAUGAAUUGACGGGGGCCCGCACAAGCGGUGGAGCAUGUGGUUUAAUUCGAUGCAACGCGAAGAACCUUACCUACUCUUGACAUCCAGAGAACUUUCCAGAGAUGGAUUGGUGCCUUCGGGAACUCUGAGACAGGUGCUGCAUGGCUGUCGUCAGCUCGUGUUGUGAAAUGUUGGGUUAAGUCCCGCAACGAGCGCAACCCUUAUCCUUGUUUGCCAGCGAGUAAUGUCGGGAACUCCAGGGAGACUGCCGGUGAUAAACCGGAGGAAGGUGGGGACGACGUCAAGUCAUCAUGGCCCUUACGAGUAGGGCUACACACGUGCUACAAUGGCGCAUACAGAGGGCGGCCAACUUGCGAAAGUGAGCGAAUCCCAAAAAGUGCGUCGUAGUCCGGAUUGGAGUCUGCAACUCGACUCCAUGAAGUCGGAAUCGCUAGUAAUCGUGGAUCAGAAUGCCACGGUGAAUACGUUCCCGGGCCUUGUACACACCGCCCGUCACACCAUGGGGAGUGGGCUGCAAAAGAAGUAGGUAGUUUAACCUUCGGGGGGACGCUUACCACUUUGUGGUCAUGACUGGGU